rnacentral:rRNA from 1 species
UACGGAGGGGGCAAGCGUUGUUCGGAAUUACUGGGCGUAAAGGGCGCGCAGGCGGCUGCUCAAGUCAGGCGUGAAAGGCCUGGGCUCAACCCGGGAAUUGCGCUUGAGACUGGGCUGGCUUGAGUGCGGGAGAGGAUGGUGGAAUUCCCAGUGUAGAGGUGAAAUUCGUAGAUAUUGGGAAGAACACUCGUGGCGAAGGCGACUUUCUGGCUCAAAACUGACGCUGAGGCGCGAAAGCGUGGGGAGCGAACAGG